GGACACGUGGUAUCCUGUCUGAAUAUGGGGGGCCCAUCCUCCAAGGCUAAAUACUCCUGACUGACCGAUAGUGAACCAGUACCGUGAGGGAAAGGCGAAAAGAACCCCGGCGAGGGGAGUGAAAAAGAACCUGAAACCGUGUACGUACAAGCAGUGGGAGCACGCUUAGGCGUGUGACUGCGUACCUUUUGUAUAAUGGGUCAGCGACUUAUAUUCUGUAGCAAGGUUAACCGAAUAGGGGAGCCGAAGGGAAACCGAGUCUUAACUGGGCGUUAAGUUGCAGGGUAUAGACCCGAAACCCGGUGAUCUAGCCAUGGGCAGGUUGAAGGUUGGGUAACACUAACUGGAGGACCGAACCGACUAAUGUUGAAAAAUUAGCGGAUGACUUGUGGCUGGGGGUGAAAGGCCAAUCAAACCGGGAGAUAGCUGGUUCUCCCCGAAAGCUAUUUAGGUAGCGCCUCGUGAAUUCAUCUCCGGGGGUAGAGCACUGUUUCGGCA
rnacentral:rRNA from 1 species